rnacentral:lncRNA from 10 species
AAGGCAACUUUGUAAAGCACACUUGAGCUGGUAGAAGAAUCGUCAGAUGUGAUGACAAGCUACAGGGAAAACUGCCUGCUGCCUUGUUCACCUGCCGCAAAGAUAGAGCAUAUUUGUCAGAUUGUCAUUUGUUACUGUCAUCUGCAGGAUGCUUCAACUGGCUGGCUAGAAGUGAAAUGGGGAGUUGGACUGGAAAACUCGCAGCACAAACCUCACAAAUGCAGUGAGUGCAGUCUUCUUUCAUCCAGCGCUCCUCGGCCUUCCUUGGAACCCCUCUAACAUCUGUACACCCUGCCUGCCUCAGGCGUGCCUCCAGCUUGUUUAUCUGAAAGGGGAGGCAAAGGAAAGAAGAGUGGAAAUUGAAGCGGAUAGCAACAAAGCCAAUCAAUAACAUGGUUUGAUGAAAUGCUCUAUUCUGUAAGCACACACCUAGAAGGCAAAAGAAACUUCAAAGCCUACAUAAUUUUUCAUUUUCCCCCAGGACUUAAUGAGCUUGAAUCAUCCAGUAUCCAAACAAAUAAACAGUUCUGUAGGUGUUAAAAAAUAU